AUCGCAGUUCUUCCAGUGGUGCAUCUACUCUGUUAUCACCUGUCAGAAAUUCUGACGAUGCCUCCACUUCAUCUGACAAGGAUAGUCGGCAAAUACAAGCAAGACAUUACAAAACAUUACAAGAAAUGUGCAAGAAGGCAAAACCAAACCAAGAAGAUGUGUCCCAGCUAUUAGACCUCGAGUUUGAAGCCAGAAGAUCCUUCAUUGACUCAGACACCAUGAAAGAGGAGAACAGAGCUCGCCUCAUCUUGGAUGCAUAUCCAUGCUUUAAAGAAUUGCAUCAUGCAUUGGGUGAGCUUCGCAGAAUUUUGGAUCCCCGCAACAAGUUCAUCAGUCAAAUAAAACUGAGAUGGGAAG